UCUAAACGUACAUUCUGGGAGUAAGCCGUCAUUCAAGAAGACGGAAAAGAAGCAAUUCUGGGACGAAGAGAGUGAUGAGGGUGAACACGAGAGAAAAAGAGUGAGUGCGAGCGAGCGAGCGAGGUCUGCUCUGUGGUCUGUUGAUUUACUUAUUUUUGUGGUAAUAUGUUGUCAAAUAGGUUUGAACUUAAAUAAACUACCUAUACAAGUA